rnacentral:misc_RNA from 1 species
GGCAGGCUGAUAAUCCCAACUCUCAGAAGAAGGCAAACUGCGCAAACUAGAAUAGCGCUUCACUCCAGAGUCGAGAGCAUUAUGGGUAGAAUUAUUGACAUAUGCAUUCAAAAGCUGCAUGUGGUUAGACCACAAUGGUUGGUGUCCCUUUUGUAUCCCGUAGGGUGAUUCUAAACCACCUGGUAACCUCUGACUCUUGGGGGAGUCAUAUAAACCCGAAGAAAUUGGAUCAGAUGCUUUGCUUCCAAGAGGUGAUAAGUGAGGAAAAUCUUUACCAACAGCAUCUUUCAGAGAGGAAGUUACAAGUUCUGAAUCAAUACCCAGUAAUAAAUCUAGUUUCUUAACCUUGGCAUCUUGAGUGGCCACCCCAUGGAAAUCAUACAACUGU